CGCGGGGUGGAGCAGCACGGUAGCUCGUCGGGCUCAUAACCCGAAGGUCAUAGGUUCAAAUCCUGUCCCCGCUACCA
rnacentral:tRNA from 1 species